UCGUCGCCGUGUUAGUUCCAGUAACCGCGCCGCGCCCAACAUCGCAAACGCCGGCUCGUCCGCAACACCGUAACAAGAGACGAACCGAUAAGACCUCUCGGAAAACAGCAGAGAGAGAGAGCGAGAGCGAGCGAGGGAGUGAGGGGGUAGACGGCACGCAAAGCAGCGGCCGAGUCGCCUACCUGCGCGUCCGUGCCCGUGCAACACACACACACACACACACACGCAGUCAAUACGCGCCCUGCGCGGCACACUGUUGCGUACUCUGUAGCUUAAUCUUAAAAAGGGCGGACGGCAUGAGCCACAACAGCGUGGCGGAGGGAGAGGAUGGCGGCACCGGUGCGGACGCCGCCGCCGUCGUGCCCGUGAACGAGACGCUGCUGUACCACCAGACCUUGAUCCCCACACAGAAUGUCACCCACGCCAUCGAGGGCUCCUUCACGCUGCCGGACGCGAAUGACCUCGUUCUGAUCCGUCACAACGUACUCGAGCUGUGGCGACUUUACGCAGAGAACGCCAACGGCGGCGUAGAGUGUGUUUGCCGCACCCCGUUGAUGUCGGCUGUGUACGCUGCGGUGGCGGUCCCGACAAGCGCCUCGUCGAUGGCGAAGGCCGGUGGCGCGGGCAGUGCCGCGUCGCCGGGCGGAAAUGUUGCCGCUGUACUCGACGACGCGACGACCACAGCGCACCGCAGUGGGGUACACUACCUCGCCGUCACGAGUGAGACGGGCUACGUGACACUGCUGCGGUACCAGCUGGACGAGCCGCCGGUGCCGACGCGGCUGUCGUACGGCGACGACAGCGACGAGGGCAACGAAGGUAUUGGUGGGAGCAGUGGAGCUAGCGGCGGUGCCACGAUGCUCGUGACCACGUCCUUGAAGGGCCGCUUCAUCAAGGUCAGCGAGGUGUGCCUGGGCCGGAGCGGGGCGCGGCUGACCGUCCCUGGUGCCCGCAUGGUGGUCGACACCGCCGGCACGGCGCUCUUGAUCACUGCGCUCAUGCGCACCAAGACGUUGGUGCCCAUCACCGCGAAUGAGACCUGGGAUCCGGUCAAGAGCGUCAACGUCGGACAAGACGACGAUGACGCAGAGAGCGACGCUGACGGCGAUGACGAAGACGAAGAAGCUGACAACGACGAUGCUGGCGAGCACCAGCGCCGCGGCCCGGUGACGGGUCGCGAGCUUCGUGCAGCCCGGCGCCGGCGGGCGGCGAAAGCGCGACGGGCCAACGGCGCCAUCAACCUCGGUACGCCAAUCGAGAUGCAGCGCCAGACCGUCCUGUACUCCGCCUGCGCCCUUGAUGGCUACCUCGACCACGCUGUGUUCGCCGUGCUCGAGGAGGAGAUUGUCGAAGCACGCGACGCCGCCGCUGCGUCCGCCAGUAACCCCGCGAACGCCGCAGCAGCCGCAGCCGAGGCGAGCGGUGGCACCUUCCUCAAGAGCAGCGGAGGCCCGAACGCGGUUGUUCAGCGCCACAAGCACUUCGUGCUCUACGCCUACGUGCCGAGCCUGAAGCAGGUGCAGCGGACGCAGCUUGUGCACGUUCCAGCGACGGCGCACCGGCUCAUCGCUGUCCCGGCGGCGCCGUACGGCCCAGGCGGCGUUCUUGUCUGCACGGACACGGAGCUGAUCUGGUACGAUGUGUCCGCCACGCAACAGCAGCAGCAAAACUCCGCUGCGGCGGCGAAUGGCCGCGUCGGCGUCUUCAAGUGCACCUACGCCUUCCCGCGCCGCCUCGACUGCACGGAGAUCCUGUACGACCCCUCCAUCAUCCAGCACACGCUGACCUGCUUCGGCCGCCGCUUCUUUAUGCUGCUGCAAGACGAGCAGGGUGACGUGUACCGCGUCUUCUUGGAGGCCGGUGACGUGCAGCGCGCCUACGAGGCGCUUCGGACGCGCGAGUUGGCGCAGGCAAACCCAGAACUGUUCCUGCAGCAGCAGCUAGCGGCGAACGGCGGUGUUGCGCCGGCUCCGGCGCUGCCACCCGUUCCGAACCCGCUGUCGGUGCACUACUUCGACACGUUGCCGCCGUCGUCGGCCAUGGCACUCUUCCGGCGCGGCUUUCUCUUCAUCGGCAAUGAGGCAGGCCCGCUGCAUGGGCUGUACAAAAUCAAGAGCAACGGCUACACGGCGGAUCGCGAGUACAUCGUGAAGCGCGUGCGGCGGGAGCGGGCGCUGCCGAUGGCGCUGCAGAUGUCGUCGUCAAGCAAGGCGGAGAAGGCGAAGGCAGAGGUGGAGGACGGUGCUGUGAAGAAGGAAGGCGACGGCGCCGAUCGCAAGCGUCCGCGCGCUGCGGAGGCCGCCGGGGCUGCCGGCAAGCCAGAGCCGCAGGACCCGACGGCGCCGGCGACAAGCAGCGGCAGUGCCGCGUCGUCCACGCUGCCACGCACCAAGACGGAGCCGACGGAUGGCGACGGAAACAGCCCGGCGUCGGCUGCAGCCAGCGCCACCGCCAUGCGGUCACCGGCCCCCUCCUCAGCCACGGCGCCGGCUUUCAAAACUCCAAUGGAGGUGCGCGUCAUCAAGGUCUACCAGCCACACCGCCGUCCUCAGCACGUCGUCCAGCUACAGAGCUUCCCGAACACACCGGCCAUCACCAGCUUCACCUCCCACCUCACCGCCUCCACCUCCGCAGCGGCGACAGCGUCCGACGGCGCCGACCACCUCACCGGCUUUGGUGGUGGGCCGGCGCCGGCGCCGGCGCCGGAGCAGUCGAGUGAGCAGCCGGAGAUCUACUUCAGCUACGUCGGCGGGCGUGGCGGCGAGAGCGUGCUCGUGCAGGCCCGCUACGGCUACGCCGCGAAGCUAGAAGGUCGCCAGAUGCUCCCGACCGUCUUCAGCUUCGUCAUCCCUCUGCCCUCUGCGCUGUCGAUGCAGUCCCUGGCGCGCCAGCAGCAGGCUGCCAUCGAAGCAGCCGCGGUUGCAGCCGUCACGCGAAGGGCUGACGAAAAGACGCUCAGAGGCACUGGUGGUGCGGCGCGUCAGCACGCGCAGCGCUUGAAGGCGCUUCGCCAGCUCGCCGCGACCGUCAGCGGCGCUCGCGACCAGGUUUGCACCGACCGCGUGCUGCUGUGCACGCGUCAGGGCACGACGGUGUACCGCAUCGGUAGCACGGUCGAGCAGGACACCAGCUUGUCUUUCAUCACCGCAGAGCGGACGCUCGCCGCGACGACGCUGCAGUACGGCUGCGGCUACGUGCAGGUUACCCCGCGUGGAAUAAACGUGCUAAGCUGCGUCGACACUGCCGCGGGCGGUGGCGGUCGACUUGACGCAGCCGGCAGAAGAGUGCACGGCAGUGGCGAUAGCGCAGGGGCGUCAUCGGUCGUUCCAGCGAGCUGGACGCAUCCGCAUGGCAACACCGUCCUCGCUGCCGCGGUGACCCCGACGACGGUGCUGCUUUCGUUCCAUCAGCGCGGCGGCAUCGCCAGCUUCGACUUUGGCCUGGCAGGCACGGAGCUUCAGCAACGCGACGUCCUUCCCACCUUCCCGCUGGCCCCCGUUGUGGCGCUGCUGCAGCCGCCGGCAAGCGCCGUGUCAGAAGCCCUCCAGCGCGAACUUCAGGCGCUCUUGUGGAACUCGAGUGUCGCGUCGCCAAGCUCGGCAGAGGCGGCCGCGGCCGCCUCUGCCGCCGCGGCGGCGGCGGCGGCUCAGACGGAGCAGCUCGCGGCCAUCGCGACGGUGAACCACGAGGUAUACCUCGUCCACCCCCGCAAGCUGCGCGAGCCUCUGGAGAAGAUCACUUGUCGUCGCAGCGGCACCCUGGACGCCGGCUCGUCGUCGGCAGCCGAGGUGACGAUCACCUCUCUUCUCCUGACCUAUCUCGGCGACACGCGAGGUAGCAGUGACGCGGCGGCAGCGCUGAUCGGUGGUGCGGGCCCGCGCGGCGGCAGAGGCGGCAACCGUGUGCGUGGCGACGUGACCGCCGCGGCGGGGCGACGGCAGCUAUUCCUGUUCGUCGGCCACAGUGACGGCAUGGUGACGCGGUGCGAGCUGAACCCGUCGUCCGCGAAGGUGACCGCGACAGCGGAGCUGUGGUGUGGCGCCCGCCCGUGCCAGCUCGUCGCGGGCGAUGGCGAAACCUUUUGCUACAUCGUCUCGGGCGAGCGAACGUGGCGGUGCGAGAUGCAGGAGAGGACGGUGAGGAUGGCGCCGUACAGCUUUCCAACGCGGCCGACGUCGUUUGCGCGGUUCGUGCUUCCGUCACGGGUCAGCGCUGCCACUGCGAACGGCAGCGACUCGGCGGCCCCAGGGGCGCAGGACAGCGCGAAUGAGGAGGACGAGAACGCCCUUGCCGCGGUCGAGUCUAUCACCCUCGUUCCGCGCGAGCAGCAGCAGGAGGUGGUCAUCGCCGUGCAGAACCGCGAGUUGGCUCUCUACGUGUCCAACAUCGGCGCCGGUGGUGGUGGUGCUGGUGGAGGUGGCGGUGGUGGCCCCGGCUCGGGCGGCGUUGAGUACAGCUUCCAGCACCAUCCGCUGCCGCUGGCGGGUCGCCGGCUCCUGCAGCACCCAACACGGCCAGCGUACCUCAUUCUCUGCGGUGUCGAGCACCGCAGCCAUGGCCGGCUGGAGGUAGAGCGGCACCGCGCCGAGGAUCGAGCCUUCCUCACGGCUCGCGUGGCGGGCACCACGCAGGCCGAGGACCGCGGUGCACUCUACGCCGAGGGGCUGUACGGCGGCAUCCCGUACACGGCGCCGCAGCGCUCCCUUGGACGCCCCAACGCGUACCACAGCACGCUACAGCUCUACCACCGGGAUGCCCAGCGGCUGCUGCCGCCCAUCCAUUUUGAGCCCAACGAAGCGAUCACCUCCGUUGCCGUGGGGAGCUUCUUCAAGGAGUUUGGUCGCGAGCCGGUCGUCAUCGUCGGCACGGCAUCUUCGUACACGCACGGGGCUGGCUGUGGCACGGCUGCGUCGUGGCGGCAUGGCUUCCUGCGCACAUUCCGGUGCGCCAGUGGCAGCGUUGGCGGCGGUGGCGGCGGUGGCGCUGAUUUGUUGCUGAGGCUAGAGCUGCUACACAGCACCUACCUGCGGCCGGAUGAGACCGGCGGUAGCGGCAACAGCAGCAGCAGCGGCAGGGAUCGUCGCUCCGGUGCCAACAGCAGUGCCGUUGCCGCCGGCGGCGGAGGCAACGGUGUGGGUGGGGAUGCGAAGCCCGACUACCCCUCCGCGCUGUGCAUCUGCGAGCCGGUGGGCAUUCUGCUUGUCGGCAUGGGCGCCGCACAGGGGCUGCGCAUCUACUCGUGGGGCAAGGAGCACCUCCUGCGCCGCCGCCACCUCACCAGCACGCCCGGCCAGCGCAUCACCGCCAUCGACUACGUCUUCGCGUCGCCGCCGGGCAGCCGGAACCUGAACACGCGCAACGUGUCAUUCUUUGCUGCCGACCUCUACCAGUGUCCGUACGGAGACGCCGAGGGCAUGCGGAUGGCGCGGGAGAAGCAGCUGCUUAUCAUCUGCGGCACCGUGAACGCCUCCGUGUUCAUUGCCGCGCUACAGCCCGGGUACCCCGCCCCCGCGGCUGCGCAUGGUGCGGCGGGAGCGACGACAGCCGCCACGCCAUCGUUUCUGCUGCAGAUCAUGACCGACAGCGUACCGCGGCACAUCACGAGUGUUGUUGCUGUGGACGAGCGCACCAUCGCCGCGUCGGACCGCUUUGGCACGGUCGUGUUUUUGCGCAUCCCCGAGACCACGCGCACACAAUUCGCGCAGCCCGUUCAUCAGCUGCAGGAAGCGGAGCUCAUCGCCGAGGAGACCUACCUGCGCACCAAGCAGACGUUCCGCGAGGUUGCGCGGCACCACGUCGGCGAGCUUGUGACAGCGCUGCAUGUGCAGCCGUACGACCCCUCGCAAGGCACCGACACGGCUCUUGCGACGAAGAUUGUGUACUACAGCACCGCACUCGGCAGCAUCGGCGCGUACGUGCCACUGCUCUCGGAAGAAGACGGCGCUCUGGCGGCCUACCUGCAGCCGCUCCUGCACUCGCACAUGCGCCCGCUGCUCGGCCCGCCCCCUGCGUUGUCGCCGGCGUCGUACCUGUCGCACCACGUGGUGGACGGCGACGUUGCGCAGUUGCUGAGCGGCGGGGCCACCACACCGUUCUCUGCAGCCGCGAAGGACGACAUUGCCGACGAGCUGGAGCGGCAAGUCAAGAUGGAAGCGGCACGUCGUAACGUCUUGGGGCUGCCGAAGCGCACUCUGCCGUCGCUAACGGAGCUCAUUGCGAAGCAGCGCGCGCUACUCACCCUACCGCUAUAGGCAGACGUAGACGACACACAGCGAAAAAAAAAAUGUGGAAGAGAGAGAGAUACUGCCGCGUGGAAAGUUUGAGGAGAGAGUCGUGCGUAAUGUCCAGUUGUGUGCGAUCCGUGAUGGUGACGCUGGGAUGUGGAUGACUGACCGUGUGGGCACCGCUUGACCGUGUUUCUGUUUUACGUGUCUGUGGGCCCCUGCGCGCUCAGUUCAGCUGCGCCCAUCGUCCCCCCCCCCGGUUUGUUUAUCGAUGGGUCUCUUGCCUGUGUUAGUAUGUUGGAUUCAUCGGCCGCCUACUAACUCGAUUGGUGCGUGGCACGCAAAGGGCGGAAGGGGGAGAAGAGGGAGCAUUAUCGGGCACGUGCGUAGAGAGGGUCGUCCGCUGACAUCAUCCAUCAGCACGUGUCCACGCGUCCUCCUCUGUGUGUCGUGCCAUCGCUUUCUCGGCAAUCAUUUCCUUGUGCCGCUUAGCACACACACACAAACGCAUACCUUCUCUCCGCCGCACCUUCGACGAAGGUUCUGCAACGUUCCUCAUGUCAAGAAGGUGGGCGGGGCGGGGUGUAGCUCUCGACGACUUUGCUAGUGUUGCUGUGUGGCGGCGAACGGGGAUGUGAAGGCUCCCUCUUUCCCCAGCGAAACGAUGAGCGUUGCAAUAACCUG
rnacentral:misc_RNA from 1 species